rnacentral:rRNA from 1 species
CUGCGGCAGCGACGCUUAUGCGUUGUUGGGUAGGGGAGCGUUCUGUAAGCCUGUGAAGGUGUGUCGUGAGGCAUGCUGGAGGUAUCAGAAGUGCGAAUGCUGACAUAAGUAACGAUAAAGCGGGUGAAAAGCCCGCUCGCCGGAAGACCAAGGGUUCCUGUCCAACGUUAAUCGGGGCAGGGUGAGUCGACCCCUAAGGCGAGGCCGAAAGGCGUAGUCGAUGGGAAACGGGUUAAUAUUCCCGUACUUGGUGUUACUGCGAAGGGGGGACGGAGAAGGCUAUGUUGGCCGGGCGACGGUUGUCCCGGUUUAAGCGUGUAGGUGUGUGUUCCAGGUAAAUCCGGUUCACUUUAACACUGAGGCGUGAUGACGAGGCACUACGGUGCUGAAGUAACAAAUGCCCUGCUUCCAGGAAAAGCCUCUAAGCAUCAGGUAACAUCAAAUCGUACCCCAAACCGACACAGGUGGUCAGGUAGAGAAUACCAAGGCGCUUGAGAGAACUCGGGUGAAGGAACUAGGCAAAAUGGUGCCGUAACUUCGGGAGAAGGCACGCUGACACGUAGGUGAAGUGAUUUACUCACGGAGCUGAAGUCAGUCGAAGAUACCAGCUGGCUGCAACUGUUUAUUAAAAACACAGCACUGUGCAAACACGAAAGUGGACGUAUACGGUGUGACGCCUGCCCGGUGCCGGAAGGUUAAUUGAUGGGGUCAGCGCAAGCGAAGCUCCUGAUCGAAGCCCCGGUAAACGGCGGCCGUAACUAUAACGGUCCUAAGGUAGCGAAAUUCCUUGUCGGGUAAGUUCCGACCUGCACGAAUGGCGUAAUGAUGGCCAGGCUGUCUCCACCCGAGACUCAGUGAAAUUGAACUCGCUGUGAAGAUGCAGUGUACCCGCGGCAAGACGGAAAGACCCCGUGAACCUUUACUAUAGCUUGACACUGAACAUUGAGCCUUGAUGUGUAGGAUAGGUGGGAGGCUUUGAAGUGUGGACGCCAGUCUGCAUGGAGCCGACCUUGAAAUACCACCCUUUAAUGUUUGAUGUUCUAACGUGGACCCGUUACCCGGGUUGCGGACAGUGUCUGGUGGGUAGUUUGACUGGGGCGGUCUCCUCCUAAAGAGUAACGGAGGAGCACGAAGGUUGGCUAAUCCUGGUCGGACAUCAGGAGGUUAGUGCAAUGGCAUAAGCCAGCUUGACUGCGAGCGUGACGGCGCGAGCAGGUGCGAAAGCAGGUCAUAGUGAUCCGGUGGUUCUGAAUGGAAGGGCCAUCGCUCAACGGAUAAAAGGUACUCCGGGGAUAACAGGCUGAUACCGCCCAAGAGUUCAUAUCGACGGCGGUGUUUGGCACCUCGAUGUCGGCUCAUCACAUCCUGGGGCUGAAGUAGGUCCCAAGGGUAUGGCUGUUCGCCAUUUAAAGUGGUACGCGAGCUGGGUUUAGAACGUCGUGAGACAGUUCGGUCCCUAUCUGCCGUGGGCGCUGGAGAACUGAGGGGGGCUGCUCCUAGUACGAGAGGACCGGAGUGGACGCAUCACUGGUGUUCGGGUUGUCAUGCCAAUGGCACUGCCCGGUAGCUAAAUGCGGAAGAGAUAAGUGCUGAAAGCAUCUAAGCACGAAACUUGCCCCGAGAUGAGUUCUCCCUGAGACUUUAGGUCUCCUGAAGGAACGUUGAAGACGACGACGUUGAUAGGCCGGGUGUGUAAGCGCAGCGAUGCGUUGAGCUAACCGGUACUAAUGAACCGUGAGGCUUAACCUU